rnacentral:rRNA from 1 species
UACGAAGGGUGCAAGCGUUGCUCGGAAUUAUUGGGCGUAAAGGGUAGGUAGGUGGUAAUAAAAGUCUGGGGUGAAAUCCCUGAGCUCAACUCAGGACGUGCCUUGGAAACUUUAUUACUAGAGUACUGGAGAGGUUCGUGGAAUUCCCGGUGUAGCGGUGAAAUGCGUAGAGAUCGGGAGGAACACCAGAGGCGAAGGCGACGAACUGGACAGUCACUGACACUCAACUACGAAAGCGUGGGUAGCAAACAGG